rnacentral:rRNA from 1 species
AUACGGGGGGAGCAAGCGUUGUCCGGAAUCACUGGGCGUAAAGGGCGUGUAGGCGGGCAGCCAAGUCAGAUGUAAAAGUCCACGGCUCAACCGUGGUUGGUCAUCUGAUACUGGUUGUCUUGAGUUCGGGAGAGGGUGGUGGAAUUCCUGGUGUAGCGGUGAAAUGCGUAGAUAUCGGGAAGAACACCGGAGGCGAAGGCGGCCACCUGGCCCGCAACUGACGCUGAGGCGCGAAAGCGUGGGGAGCAAACAGGAUUAGAAACCCUAGUAGUCC